rnacentral:rRNA from 1 species
UACGUAGGGACCGAGCGUUGUCCGGAAUCAUUGGGCGUAAAGAGCGUGUAGGCGGCCACUUAAGUCCUGCGUGAAAUCUUGCGGCUCAACCGCAAGCGGUCGUGGGAAACUGGGUGGCUAGAGUGCGGGAGAGGAGAGUGGAAUUCCUGGUGUAGCGGUGGAAUGCGCAGAUAUCAGGAAGAACACCCGUGGCGAAGGCGGCUCUCUGGAACGCAACUGACGCUGAGACGCGAAAAGCGUGGGGGAGCAAACAGG